CAUCGUUACAGUUCGCGUGAUUGUGUUCAGUUUGGAAGAAUGUGCUAGUGAGUGUCAUUUUUUGUACAUUUUCAUACAUACAUACAUUUUGUGAGAAAUUGUAAGCAUUAUACAAUAAAAAGGAAAAAGAAAGAUAAAACAUGCCAUAACUGGGUAUUCUAAGUACCGCAAAUGUCAAGCUCUGGUUUCAGCCCAUAGUAAUCUGUGUUAUUAAAUGUGAGACCGUUCUCGUUGCAGGGGGACCUGUUUAAUAUCGACCUUAGCCCUAGGUGGUAAACAGUGAAUUUUAACAAAUGAUAUCUGCGUGGCUAUACAAGUUUAUUGAGAAGUAUUCUCUAACCCAGCUCCUGGCACUGCUCUGUGAUUUUAGAUAAAAUUUUGCAAGCUACAUUUAAUUUUCUAAAACAUUUGUUUAGCAAGUAACCUUGGGAAUUAAAAGAUCACAAAAAUAGUAGUUUUUGCCACAGAGCUUGCAAUCCAAUGUGACAAAGCACCUGGCUAUUCAUUCCCAGAUUUGGAUCUUAUCCUGUAUUCAAGAUGGUAGCUUGUGAUUCGCGUUGCAGAUUGGCGAGGUGCUGUCCAGGAAAAAACAUGGUAUGUCUGGCAACUCUGGGCCAACAGCCUCAGAAUGCCUCAUACAUUCACUAAUACGUCUGUCAGCUAUUAUACCUUUAGGAAAUAAAUAAAUAAAAGGUAGAUCCCCAGAUGUUGUAGAACUACCACUCUCAUGAUGCUUUGCAUGCCUUUAGAAUGCUUUAGAAUGUAUUUAGAAAGCAUCAUGUGGAUCUACCUUUUGGGCACCCUGGCACUAAAUGAUAGAACAAAUAAGGAUGGUUUAGAAAAUCUUGAAAGGCCUCAAGGCCUCUGUUUAGUUAAUAAAUGAAAGUCUGGUUAUCAAAUGAAACUACUAAUUAGGUAUUCAGGAAAGAAACCUUGACUUUCCACUCUUGUGGUCAAAUAAGCUCAACAGAAACCCAUUAUUAGAUAGGUGCAACUUAGUACGGUCCCUAUAGCGGGAGUAUACAGUUGCAAGAUUGUUUUGCUAAAAAACAAGCACGGAGCAUGUGCAGAUGAGUAAAGUCAGGUGUGUUUCAGGGCUCAUUGUGAUGUCAUGUCACGUAAGAUAUCAGCGGUUUACACAUCAGCCCUUUAAAUUGUUAUCAUUUACUAAACAGUGAAUUGUGGGGAAAUGAAAAACACAUUUUCUAAAUUUCUGGAUAAAAAUAACAGCAUCGCACACCUCCCACGUGUACCUAAUUUAGGAGGGACAGUUCCUAUUUGGGGCCUAAAUUUUCUAUCCUGAUGUCCCUUUUUUCCUAGGAGCUCCAUAUUGUUGGUGUGUAGGUGUAAAACAGAGCUCCACAGCAAUAACUCACAGUAAUGUUUCUUUAAGCUUCAAUUAAUGUGUUUAUAAAUCAGUCUGUGUAAGUAAGAUACAUUGUUAUUAUUAUUCUAAAUUACAUUUUAGUUGUAUAAAUAGUUAUUAGUAAGUUACCCUAAAUAUCUCAGAACUGCCCUGCCUCAGGCCACACCCCGACUCAUACUGGUUAACUUAAAAGGUCCCUCUUUCUGCACUUCGGAAAUGCUUUGGAUUGUGUGGGGAACCAUUCCUGAACAAUUUGUGCAGAGUGGCAGGGUGCAAUUUCUUGCUGAAGAGGCCGAUGCCAUCAUGGAACACCAUUGUCAUGAAGAGAUGAACAUGGUCUGCAACAAUCUCUGGGUGGGUGGGAAGUGUCAAACAUCCACAUGAACGCAAGGACUCAAUGUUUCCAAGGAGAACAUGACCUAGAGCAUAACUGCCUCCUCCGGCCUCUCUUCUUCCCAUAGUGCACCCUGCUGCCUUCUCUUCCCUAUGUAAAGGACCCACACCAUUCAUCUGAUAUAAAUGAAAACAGGAUUCAUCAGAUCAGACAAUCUACUUCCAUUGCUCUGUGGUCCAGUUCUGCUGCUCACGUCUGCAUUCAAGGUGCUUUCGGUAGUGCACGGGGUCAUCACGAGCACUCUGACCGCUCUGCGGCCAAUUGCAAAGCACCGUAUGUCCAAACACCUUUCUAUCAUGGCCAGCAUUACGUUUUUCAGCAAUUUGAGCUACAGUAGGUCUUCUGUGUGAUUGGAUAAGGCAGGCUAGCCUUCGCUUUUUCCUAUGCACCCCUCUUGGUAGGUUCUAAUCGCUGCAUACUGAGAUCACCACACAAGACGUACCAUUUUGGAGAUGCUCUGACCCAGUUGUCUACCCAGUGGCGUACACAUGACCCACGGGGCCCCGGUGCAAAAAUUGAUCCAUGGCCCCCCCCCACCCCGCGCGCGCGCUUACUCGACACGGGUCGUGGUCGCAACACAUGGUGGCGGGCACCUGGUCGCAGGGGUUGCAGGGCUGCGACCCCGCGACUGCGGUAUGCACACACACUUAAAGGACCACUACAGACACCCAGAUCAUAUCAGCUCAAUGAAGUGGUCUGGGUGCCAGGUCCCUCUAGUUUUAACCCUGCAGCUGAAAACAUAGCAGUUUCAGAGAAACGGCUAUGUUUCACUGAGGGUUAAUCCAGCCUCUGGUGGCUGUCUCAUUGACAGCUGCUAGAGGAGCUUCCGCGAUUCUCACUGUGAAAAUCACAGUGAGAAGACACUGAACGUCCAUAGGAAAGCAUUGAGUAAUGCUUUCCUAUGGGCGGUUUAAAUGCGCGCGCGCCUCUUGCCGCGCAUGUGCAUUUCAGAGCUGAGUGGCAGACACUGGGGAGUCCAACGCUGGAGAAAGGUAAAUGCUGAAGACACACACGCACACUCUCACGAACAGACGCAUACACACUAGCUAACAGACACACACAUUUACUGACAGAGACACACUCAGCGACAGACAUACAUACACACUCACUUACAAAACAUACACUUUCACUGACAAACACACACUCACUAACAGACAUCAAACACACUCAGUAACAGACACACACAGUAACACACUCACUAGCAGACACACACCCAAUAACAGACACAUUCACUGACACACACACUAACACACGCACUAACACAAACAAAUACUGACACACACACACUAACACACACACUCUAGCACACACAUACACUAACACACACACACACUCUAACACACACUCUAACACACACACACACUCUAACACACACAUACACUAACACACACUAUCACACACAUACACUAACACACACUAACACACACUAACACACACACACUAACACACACACACUAACACACACAUACACUAACACACACACACAUUUUUUUUUUUUUAAAUUUAAUCCCCCCAGCCUCCUUACCUUUUGGAGUGCUGGGGGGAUUCCCUGGGGUCCAGUGGUGCUGCUGGGCUCCUGGUCACUGGGUGGCCGGUCGGGCAGGCGGGCGCGCGAGGGAGCACUCAGUGCUUCCUCUUCAGCUCCCUCGCACGCCGCGUAGGGAUGCCGGCGCCGGAAGAUGACGUCAUCUUCCGGCUCCAGCAUCAGUGCGGCGCGCGAGGGAGCUGAAGAGGAAGCACUGAGUGCUCCCUCGCGCGUCCGCCUGCCCGACCGGCCACCUGCCCGCUGGGGUCAGCAGGGCCAGCCUCGGGGGGCCCUGGGGUGGCCACCUCCUGGGCCCCCCAGGAGAAGAGGCUGGCCCUGUGGGUACAUACUGGGUCGCAGGGGCGACCCUGGUAUGUACGCCACUGUGUCUACCCAUCACUAUUCGGCCAUUGUUAAAGAUCUUUUCGCUUGCCCAUUGUUCCUGCUUCCAACACAUGAUAUUCAAAAACUGACUGUUCGCUUGCUCCCACCCCUUGACAGGUGCCGCUGUAACGAUAUAAUAAAUGUGAUUUACUUCAUCUGUCAGUGGUUCUAAUGUUGUGUCUGAUCAGUUUAGUCCUAACUUGGCUAAUUUUAAAAAUUCCAUUUUUAUUGUGAUUCAAUUUGCUGUUUAGAGAGUAAACCCUUUGGUUUUACUUCGCUGUCCCUGGAUAGAAUUAGAGACACUAAUGUCAGCUUAGCCCUACUUUGCCUGUAACAUUCUUGGUUCUCUGCCCCGCCGAGUUCCAAAGAAGGAGACUAGUGAGAAUAUGGGCUGGUGUAAGGUCUGUUACUGCAGAAAUAUUUGACUAACUUUCUGUUACCUCAUUUCCAUGUCAGCUGCUUUUCUUUUGUCAGCGAGAGUUAUUUGCAUGAAGCUCGGAAAAAAAAAAAGUCCACUGUUUUACCUAUUAAAGUUUUGUGGACAAUACAUUAACCCCUUGAUCACCACCACAUUGCAUAGCUUUCUGGGAAACAAAGAGAGUUAAACUUUUCGGUGACCAAAAAAAAUGUCCAAUUUGCAAAACCCAAAAUUGCAAUAUUUGCAACAUUAUCUGACUUGGAAAAAUUCCAUAUAAUGCCCCUUGAUGUUUGUUGGCAAUAAGGUUUUGUGUGCACUUGUGUGCUUAAAAGAACUGCAAACUGGCUAGAUCUGAAUAUAGGAGGUACAGGGGUUUAUUCACUAAACACCACUUUCAGUGAAUAAAAAAAAAAUAAUGACAACAUUUAAGAAAAAAUUGCAGGUUUGGAAAAUUUGGAGGCAAUAGAUUCAGAAAUUGUAAAUUUAAGCCUAAAUUUUGCAGUUCACGUUUUUUUCCCUUAUAGUUAAAGGGACACUAUAGUCACCAGAACAACUACAGCCUAAUGUAGUUGCUCUGGUAAGUAUAAUCAUUAUAUGCAGGCAUUUUCAUGCAAACACUGCCUUUUCAGAGAAAAGGCAGUGUUUACAUUGCCCCUAGGGUCACCUCCAAGUGGCCACUCCUUAGAUGGCCAGUGGAGGUGCUUCCUGGGGCAGUGCUGCACAGUAGGCAGCAGUGCCGUUCAGCGUCUCCAUGCGCUGCAUGGGGAUGCUGAAUUUUCCUCAUAGAGAUGCAUUGAUUCAAUGCAUCUCUAUGAGAAGGUGCUGAUUGGCCAAAACAACAUUUGGCCCUGCCCCUUGACGAUUUUAGCCAAUCCAAUGCUUGACACUAUAGGGUCAGGAAUACAUGUUUGUGUUCCUGAUCCUAUAGUGUUCCUUUAAUGUUUAGCAAAUAAAUCCUAAAAUGACUUGCAGACCUCACUUAUAUAUAUAUAUAUUUUUUUUUUUUUUUUGGACAAAACUUUUAAUUAAUGCACAGAAUCAGAGUUUUUCAUUAAUGUGAGAAUACUCAACAACGCAAAUUUUAGAACAAAAAAGAAAGACCGCUAUAUUUUUGAUUCGGCUGCUUUGACUAAAAUUUGAAAUUCAUUCUGAAUUUUCUUGGAAUUCCUAACAAUUCCCACUUUAGUAGAUGAGAUGACUUCUGCGGAGUAACCUAUGAUAAGAAUGGAUAGCUAACCUACCAGUAACAUUGCUGUUUACAUUAUGGCAGCUGAUAAAUGUAUGUACAUAUGAUUAUCGGUGGCUCCUGCUAAGCACUGUCUGGUAUUAAGAUUAUUUGCAUAGGAAAUGAUCUGGAAAUAGAAACUUUUCCAUAUAAAGUAUGAUUGCACCGGAUAAAGUAGUCUCUGUCAAUUUUUGAUCCGAAGUAGAAAGUAAUGUAGUAAAAUUCAGGUCUUGGCAGCAAAAUCUCAUAACUUUUUCCUAUUUUCCUUAACUGCUUUGAAAUAUAUUUGGAGGAACACUAUAGUGUCAGGAAUAUAAAUGUGUUUUCCUCGGGCCCCCUUACUCUCAUUUUCUAGCACCACGUGCAUCUCCAUGCGGCUGCCCCCACUCCCACUCGUUCUCUUGGGCUGAAAUCAUCAAAUUUGAUGAUCUCAGCCAAUACAAUUCUUUCCCUAAGGGAAGCAAUGGGAGGCUAUUGUGCAUGCGCGUCAAAAUGCGGUGCUGCAUCAGCAUCUCCUCAUACAGAGAUGUAUUAAAUCAAUGCAUCUCUGUGGGGAAUGUUAACGCCUCCAUGCAGAAAGUGGUGACGCUGAACGGCACAUUUUUGCAGCACCUACCCAGGAAGCACCUCUGGUGGCCAUCUGAGUGACUGCCACUAGAGGUGUUCCAAGGCAGUAAUGUAAACACUGCCUUUUCUCUGACAGCGGUCAGCUGAUGUUCUCAACCUAUCAAUGAGCAGCUGGAUCGACAUCGGGCUUCUUCCACUCUGCAGAAGGCAGUUGUCGUAAAUCUGCCUUCAAAGAAGAGGAGCCCCAUUACCAGGGUGUGUCGUAUGGGUACUCCCAUCACCAAAACCACUACAGCGGAGUAACUCUUGUAAAAUUGAUGCUAAAAUAGCUCAAUUGGAAAAUGAUCCUGUUCAUCUCUGAAAUUUCUCCUGUUCAGUUUUGAUUUUAUCCUCAAUUUUGAAAUUUGCAAAUACUGUGUAUUGUAGUAUCAGUAAUAGGAUUUAGUCAUUAAACUGGAAAUUCUGGCUUAUAGAAAAGGGGAUUGUAAAUUGUAAGUCAAAAUAGAGGAAUACAUUAUUUCUAUCAAAUAUUUUUUUCAGAUCAGCUAUACAGGCCCACAUUAAAAAAAAAUAAAAAAUAUUGGUUUUCAGUCCAAACCCCAAUGAUGUAGUGGAUACACCUCACCUUUUGUUUUUGUAGCAAAAAUAAAAUUCAAUUUCUCAUUUUUUGCGUUACGAUUUUCCUUUAAUUUAACGUUUUCUCAUUUAUGUCAACAUACAGAAAAUAGUCAGAAUAAGUAAACCGUUAUUUUUUUAUUUCAUGAUAUAAAUGAAGCUAUAAUAGUGGCGUGAAAGAGGCGCAGAAUUUUAAUACUUCAGUUAAAUGCAUUCUUGCAGGAUAUGACAUCAUAGGAAAUUGGCCAAGGUUGUCAGCGCCUUUUAAGAAGUCCUCAAUUAGCAGAGCUGGACAGAGUGAUGGUAUGAUGUGUAACGUGAUGAUUGACAGCCCUUCAGAUACAUUAUAUUAUAGCCACUAAAUGUAUCUAACAGAAACUUAUCAAAAUCAUUAUUGCUCAUUAAACAACAUCUGCAGAACUGUUCAUUUUUGGGACUGUUGCAGUUAUACAAAAAAAAAAAAAAACCACUCUAUAAAAAAAAUAUAUUGAAUAAGAAAAGAGGAGUAUAGUGCUAUCAGGAGAAUUUUUGGGGGGAAUUAGUACCAAUUAAAUUUUUUUCCUUUCUGUCCCUGAAAGAGGGACAUUUACAUAGGAAAGGGGAAGUUGUGAUACAGGUCCCUAAUCAUGACAAAAUAUCAGAAAGUAGAUUAUUAUUAAAAUAUUUUUGAAAGGUAUGAAAUGUUGGGGUUUAUCAUAACUUCCAACACUGCGUACUUCCCAGCUUUGGCAGAAUUGGGAUGCAUCUCUUACUCGGUCCAAAAGGGGACUGAUUUACCCUGAAAGGUGGCAGGUCUGCCCACAUUACUGGCAGGUCAGCCGAGUGUGAAUACAUGCCAGGUAUUUUUAUUGGGGGAGCGACAAAGACGUUUUCAUGGAAUUAGAACAUAUAUAACAAGAUAAACUACCAGACAUAGGCAACCUUUGGCACUCCAGAUGUUUUGGACUACACCUCCCAUGAUGCUUUGCCAGCAUUAUGAGCGUAAGAGCAUUAUGGGGGAUGUAGUCCACAACAUCUGUAGUGCUGAAGGUUGCCUAUCCUUGAACUAGACACAUAAAUCAAAAACAAUGUAAUCUACUUUUCUUAACCACCCCUUGGUUAGGGCCAAGAAUACAUUUUAAAUUUUUUACCCCCCACCAUACCACAAUAUUCCCCUGUGGCCAAUCCCCCUUAUAUGGUUUAAUACAGUGUGUUAAUGGAGCCAUUGUUUACAGACAGACUCCAGGAGUUGUGGUUACAUUAAAAUUGCCACCAUGUUUCAAUAUCCACUGGUAAGAGAAGGGUUAGUUUUGUCGUCCGUGCCAGGACUUAUAAGACUAUUACUGAGCUGCCACACUACCCCAUCCGCCAACACAAAGGUUACAUCUGCAGAAUUACAAGAAUCCCUUAUUUCUCCUGUUUAACAGGAAAAAACUCAUUGGGCGUAAUUACCUCGUAAUUCACACGUUCCGUGUUACCUGUAUACUUUACAAGGGCGAGACAGGCUCCCCUGAUACUUCAACACAUAAUAUCUCUUUUCAUUAUAGCCUUAGGUGUCAAACUUGAUUAUAAGGCACAGAGUCGGCUCUGCUAAAUCUCUCCUAGCCGGAGCGAUUUCUAGACAGGAUCUGCAAGAAAACAGAGCGUUGGCAUGAUAGAAAACAGAUAAAGUUCUGCUUAUAAGCGCAUGCGUCUCUUAACAGUAAAUACAAUAAGGCACUUUAGAACAUUCUUAUCUUCAGUUACACAGUUACAGCCCUUCUCACUGCAUCACUGAGAACUGGCUCCAGAUUCAGAACCCUGAUAAAUUAAGGCUUAUUCACUAAACGGUAAAUUGAAAAGCUCAUUGUAAAAUGUGUGCUAAAAUAGUAAAGCUGUGAUCACCAUGUCAAAUCCGUUAUUUGGUCUACCCUGCGCAAUUUGGUUAUUCUAUCAAUUUCAUACAAUUCACCGUUUUUCGCAAAUAAACACCUUUGGGAUAAAAAGUAACUUUCUCGGCCUCUUUGUUAGAUUGGGAGUUUGCAGCAAUCCCACUGGGAUUUAUUCACUAAACAAUGAAUUAUUAACCUAAAGUCAAAGUUAAGGCCAAAAUAGCUGAUUUGGAAAAAAAUAUAUCUGCAAUUUUGUCAACAUCAAAGUUUGGAGGUUAUAGCCUAAACUUGGCAACUAGACUUUCAGUUCAACUGAAAUCAAUGUUUAGUCAGUAACCCCCAUGAAAUUAAAGGACCAGUUUUGGCACCAUAGCAACUCCCUUUGACACAGGACGCUAACCUGGACAUUACUUACCAAACAAAUAAGCAAAUAAAUAAUAAUGUAGUGAUACAGCAGUGCUGUAGAUUGUAAGCUCUUAAGAACACUAUAAGUCACUUGAGUAAUCGUAUAUUUUAGUGUUUUUCAUGAUAAAUAAAUUAAUGAAUCAAUAAAGAUAUUCACUAGAUGGUUCUGGCUCAUCUGGGUUUCACAGAUCAUUGGAACUACCUGUAUCAUUAUUCUUAGUUAACUUUAGGGCUGGCUGUGAGUAUUGGGAAUUGUAGUCCCAAGUAUCUGGGCUGCCGAAGUAAGCUGUCAGUCACCCAGACUAAGUGUUAUUAAAGUAAGCAAUACCACUAAUAUGUAUUAACAAACCAAGGGGCAAGCACAUUUUAGAGGUCUGGGGUGCAUCAAGUCGGCCCCCAUUUAAAUAUAAAAAAAGAGAACUAAAUUAAAUAAUAAAUUAAAUUUUAAUCACAUAUUAACACUGAAAACAUAAGGAUUACUUCUGAGACUGCCUGACUAUGUAUUACUUACAUUACAUUACAUUACUUCAGUGACUGCCCAGACAACUCCAACUAUAGAAGAUGUGAUUUAAAGGGGUUUUAUCCUUACCACAAUUAAAUUAUCAUUUAUCUUAUAAUAUAUUAAACUAGCCUCUGGUGGAACUAUUAUAGAGAGGACCACGGUGCAAGAAGUUAUUGUGGGCCCCCCUCUUGCACAAGCGUGGCCAAAAGUUAGAUCCUCAUCUGUCCUACAAGUCACUUAAUGUUUUGCCAGCUGGGUAUCAACCAUUUAGCCAUCCUUGCCGUGCUGUAUGUGUGAGCAGUGCCUCUGUGUUUGAAUGUAAGCAUGUUUUUGUAUAAAGUAUGUAGAUAUGAAUAAAGGGGUGUAUUUACAUGCAGUGUUGGCAUAUGAAUCCAAGGAUGUGUGUGUAGUAAUGGCGUUUGAAUGCAGGGUGUGUUGCAUGUAGUGUUUGUAUUUGUAUGUAGUGUGUGCGCAGUGUUGGUGGUUGAAUGUAGGUGUGUAUUUGUGUACACUGUUGGUGUUUGAAUGCUAGAGUGUGUUUGUGUACACUGUUGGUGUUUGAGUGAAGGAGCAUUCUUGUGUGCAGUGCUUGUAUUUAAAGGGACACCAUAGUCACCAAAACAACUUUGGCUUAAUGAAGCAGUUUUGGUGUAUAGAUCAUGUCCCUGCAGUCUCACUGCUCAGAUCUCUGCCAUUUAGGAGUUCCAUCACUAUGCACCCUAGUAACACCUCCCUGCAUGUGACUUGCACAGCCUUCCUAAACACUUCCUGUAAAGAAAAAUCUAAUGUUUAUAUGUAUUUUUGCAAAUUCUCUUUAAUUUAAAAUGUCUUAUCCCCUGCUCUGUUAAUUGCUUACUAGACACUGCAGAAGUCUCCUGUGUGUGAUUAAAGUUCAAUUUAGAGAGCAGGAGAUAAAAAUAUUUUAAAUUAAGUUACAUCUGAUUGUUUUCACGCAGACUGUGUCAGUCACAGUCAGUAAAGGUGUAGCUAGGGCUGCAUGGACAGAAACAAAAGUGAUUUAACUCCUAAAUGGCAGUGAAAUGAGCAGUGAAACUUCAGAGGCAUGGUCUAUACACCAAAACCACUUAUUAAGAUAAAGUUGUUUUGGUGACUAUAGUGUUCCUUUAAAUAUCAGGCUGUAUUUGUGUGCAGUGUUAGUGUUGAAUGCAGGAGUGUGUUUGUGUCAGUGUUGAUUUUUCAAUGCAGGGGUGUAAUUGUGUGCAGUGUUUAAAUGUAGGGUUGUAUUGGUAUUUGUAUUGAGGGGCAUGUUUAUGUGCAGUGUUGGCAUUUGAAUGCAGGGGUGUUUAUGUGCAGUGUUGCCCUUUGAAUGUGGAGAUGUAUGCACUUCCACACACACAUACACAGACACUGACGUAGCUGGGCACACACUCAGAUACACACAUACACACAAUUUAGGAUUGUAAGAAUUUAACGGUCCAAUUACUCUCUCUGAGAGGCUAACAAGUCUUCUACAAGACUCUUGAAGUUUAUUGACUAAACUGUGCGCUUUGAAAAAUUCACAAAGAAACUGUCAAAUUUAGGCAUAAAUACCUGAAUUCGAGAAAUUAUCUAAUUUUGCAACUCGACUAUUUUGGUGUACAGUUCACAAUUCCCUCGUUGUGAUUUCUUGGAGAAUAAAGCAAAUAAACCUCUUGGCUGGAGGAGUCAAGCCAAGGAGAAAAUGUUUAUGGGGUAGACAUGGUUAAAUAACACAAGCUGUGUACAGCGCCUUCAGAAGGGAUAUGGAGAUCUAAGGUGAAGAUGACCUCAUUGUGUGACGCAUUGGGGCUUAUUCACUCAACAGCAAAUUGUAGGGAAUUGAAAAUCAAUUUGCAAAAUUUUGACAAAAAUACUGAUAGGGCAAAAUUAUCUAAUUAAUCUAUACUCACAGCAUAUUGAAAACAUGUGUACUUUAGUCUAAAUUUUGCAAUUCUUUUUCAAUCCACUUCAAUUUAAUAUUUAGUGAGUUAACCCCACUGUCUAAAAACUGGAGAUAAGAUAUGGAUCUUUGGUGACUUUGGUAGUGAAGGUCACUGGAAGUCAGAAAUGUGGAAUGUUGGAAGAGAUACUGGAGAAAUUACAGAGAAAGAGUUGUUGAGGGAUCAGAUGGUAGAGUUGAAAUUUUAUAUACUCCUAGUUUAGACAGGAUUACUGAAAGGCAAAUCAUCUUACUUGUUUGCCAAGAGAGGAAGUGUAAAAUGAAAAGAAUAAGGGCCCAAGGACAGAGCCAUAUGGUAGCCAGACAAAAAAAAACAGAAUAAAAAAUAGGAUUCUCCUGAGAUGACUUGAGACUAAGGAUUGCAAAUGUCCUUGAAAGCAAGAAAGAGUUUUGGGCAGGGGUGGACAGGUAGGAGGUAGGGUGAUAGACCAUGAAAAGCAAACCAGUAAACACCAGAACAUGAACUGAUCGCAGAACUAUUUUGAAGUCAUAAAGCCGACUCUAGAGUGUCAGCUCACUUGAGCAAGAUGCUCAUCACCUCUUGUUCACCUCAACUUAUUUCACAGAAUUAUUUGUUUGAAUAAAUAUGUUGCCACUCUAUAAUAACUAUAAACUCUACUAUAAUUUAAUUCAGUCUUGGGGAUCUGUUCACUAAAUAGAGGAUUGUAGAACAAUCAUGACAGGACAUCUGACUUCUGUUGGACAGGACUACAGUAAUGAGAUUGGACAGAAUGUUUGAGUCAGACCUCAAGGAUGCUUUCGGAUCAAGCCACAGCAAUAACUGGGAAGGAUGCAGUAGGAGGUGAACAGCAGGCUGGUGACUCGUAGUAAAGUGGCUGUUUGGAUCAGUUGAAGUCUGAGUGCCCCUACCUGCACGGCCUUCAUUAAUUGUCAUGUUGGCAAUUCAAUGGAUGACAAAGAUGGUAGUUAUCUAUCCCAACUUCCCACACAUUACUGUGCAACAGAACUGCUGUUAUGGAAGCCUGUGUAAAAAGGAACAUUCAGGCCUCCAUCCACCAUAUGGUCCCAAUAGGAUACAAAUGAAAAGUGCAUAGAGAGUCCGAUCAAUAUUUCUCCAUGACUCAGAAACAGCCCGUCUGGUGGCCAUGGUGAUAUUACAGAUUAUUUUUAGGAACACUAUUGUGUCAGGAACAUGAACAUGUAUUUCUGACACUAUAGUGAUAAAAUAACUAUUUAGGUCUUCAGCCUCCUCUCACCUAUUUUCCAGUGCCACGUUGGUCUUCCUGUGGCUGGCCCCACCUCACUCCACCUCUGUGGCUGAGAUCAUCAAAUCUAACAAUCUUAGCCAAUCCGAUUUUUUCCUAUAGGAAAGCAUUGAAAGGCUAUUGUGCAUGCGUAGCAAAAUGCCACGAUGCGCCAAUCAGCAUCUCCAUUUGAAUUGAAUGCAUCUCUAUGGGGAACGUUCAGCAUCCCCAUCUCCACGCUGUGCAGCACUGACACAGGAAGAGCCUCUAGUGGCCAUCUUAGUGACUGUCACUAGAGGAGCAAACACUGCCUUUUCUUUGAAAAAGCUGUGUUUACAUUAAAAAGCCUGCAGGUGGCCAUAAUUCCCAGGGGAAAAAAGUACAUUGUGCAAAAUAUGAGACACGUGCAAGGGAUGCAAAGUCAAGAACUAUGGUAUAGCCACUCUUCAUAUCUGAAGUCCCUCCUUAGAUUUUCAGAAUGGACUCUGCCCAGAAUAUGACCUUCUCAUGGUUGUUCAUCAGAGUGUAGCGCAUGAUGGUAUCUUAUUUGUGUCGAAGUGUGAAUAAAAAAAAAAUCUGUUCAUGCUUCUUGCAAUACCUCCUUUCAAGGUUUUCAUGAAUUGACCAGUACUCCGGGUCGUGAGAUCUGCCGCUACGCCAUAUUGGUUCUUCACAGAACACUUUGAAGGAGCAGCUGAGGGAUGUAGGGGCUUGUAUAGCAUACUUCCGACCAGUGGACACACACAGAAUAAUUGUAAGACCACAUUACUUCCUCCAGUGAUGCAGUUGAGUAAAAUGUAAGAAUUGUGGCUACAGAAAUGUUUGCAAAUUGCUGCAGUUAAAAACUAAAUAUGGAAAGGUAGACCGUGACCGUGACCGUGACUUAUAGUUUAUAAUUUGAUCACCCUUUCAAGCAAAUAAAGGUAUUUAUAACCAGUUAUCUGUAUUUUCUAUCAGAGUACAGAUGGCAGGAUUUUAUCAUUGCAAUUUAGAACCAAAUUUAUAAUUACCUAUAAGCAGAACUUUAAAACUAACCCUAGCCGUAACUGUAGUCUUAAUCUUAACCCCAACCCUAAAACUAGCCCUAGCUUUAAUCCCAAUCCUAGCCUUAUCACUAGAAUUAACCAGUGUCAUGAGGGUCAUACCCCAAUUUACAGGAAUGGAAAAUUCAGAAACAGGGAUUCUAGAUAGAAGUAUUAACGGGCCGAACUUAACGUUAAUAAAGACAGAGUCAGGAAUGGCCAAGAUCAUAAUAUAGAAAUAUGGAUAAACGGAAAAAUAAGCUCGGUCAGGAUACCAGAAAUAAACAAAGUCAAAUACAAGCUGAGGUCAAUAUCAAAACAUAUCAAGAGAGAUUUACUAUUCGUUAUAACAUGUAUCAGGGCAGAAACCACGAUACGGCAAGGGAUAAGGGCCCAAAUUAGCAUUAUAUAGGCUAACAAUGUUUCUGAUUGAUCAACGUCAUCUCUGCUACUCCAAAAUCGUUGAUAAUGGGGUCGCCUGGAUGACAUGGUCACUGUGUGACAUCACAGCAUUUGAAUUUAGAAAAGACAGGCCAUUCAAACGGGCAGCAUCUAAUAUAAUGCAGAGAAGAAAAUUAGGGCCGAAUGGUAAGUAUUUCCUGUUCAGACCACAUGGCCGCGUGGAGUGUUAAGGCAAUGUGACCUGAGGAGGGGACUACGAGGGGAGCCGCAUGGGUGCCAUGAUAUGGUAAGUUUGUGACAGCCAGAAACUUAAACCAAACACUAUCCUUAUCCCUAACACCACUCUAAUCUUAGUUCUAAUCCAAGGUCUAACACUAACCUUUGCUCCAACCCUCCCUAGAUGUGACACCGGCCUCCAGUUACCAUAAACAAAUCUAUCAUGAUAUCUAUAUAGUGCAUUAAGGGAAAUGAUGCCCUAUCAGGGUUCUGAAGAUUCUAUAUUAGUCUUGUAUUGUAUGAAUGUUUCUGAAUCCGCUCAAUAACAUUAUUUUCCUAUAAUACACAAUUUCAUCCGUUUCAUUUGAUUUGAGAAAAAAGAUUUGUGAAAACAAAUCAGACAAACCAAAAGGGCGCAAAAAUGGGGCAAUUGGUGUAUAUAAAUAUUAUGUAUGUAUUUUGCAAUACACUGAUUUUCCCACCAUUUGGUUAAUAGAUAAAGUGAGAAAAUUUACCCAAUAAAGGGAAAAUGAAAAGUAGCCAUAAUAAAUUUAUAUUGUAUAUAAACAGCCAUCAUUUUUUCCCCAUCAAUCAUGUCUUUUUAAUUUUUUUGCGACGCGAAAAAAAACCCCCAAAAACUAAUUUGGACUUAUUGCAGUUAGUAACUAAACUAAUCUCUAAGUAUUGAAAUAUGGAAAGGUUAUAAAUAAUUCUUCUUAAAGUCUUCUGAUGUUUUUAUUAUUAGUGGCAAAUAAUGGUCAUGGGAAAGGUUAGCAAAAUAAAUAUCAAUAAUUUGCUGGAAUAAUUAGUCACCCUAGAUGUGAGCAAAACUCAGAUAAGUCUUUGCCAGAACAAGCCAAUUAACAUAUCUGCUAUGGAAAUUCUUCUGUUUUUUUAGGCACUAUGAGAAUAUUUAUGAAAGUCAAAUUAUUCACUAAAGUGUGAAUUUUCAGUAAUUCCAAGUAAAUUCGAUGAAAAUGUUACAUUGAAUAUCACAUCAGCCAAGAUUAAUUUUUUUUGGGGUGAAAUCUCUUUACAUAAUUUUUCUUUUUUUACUUUCGCCAAAUAGAAUAUCUGUUUUAGCAUGCGUGGGAUAUUUAGAAAAGAAUAUUUUAAUAAUGUCACUUCCCAAAAAAAAGUUUCAAUAAAACUGCGUUGACGCCACAAGUAAUUUCCGACUCUUAAUGAAUAGCCCGCCCUGCUCUUUCUUUUUAUGACCCCGUAUUAUCUACCAAAGCUGACUUUCCAAAAUAUACUCAUUGGAUUCGGGAGGAAGUUAGACUCUAUGGUGCCUUAUACAGGAGGCCAUAAAACCCGGUCUGCGCAUUCGAAACGCGAAGGAGCAAUGGGAGCAAUCUUUUCAUAUUAAUCCCGUAUAUGAAGACGUAGAGGAAAAGGGGGAUGAUAUUAACCCUUAUUAAAAAAAAAUUCUCUCUGUCAACGAGACAGGGGCAGAGCACUUGAAAUAUGCCUGUGAUUUUGCAAAAAUCCCAAACCAGAUGUUCUUAGUAGUAAUAAAUUCGGGGUGGGGGGGGAGAGGGAAUAUGGGUGAGCGAUUUCACAAAGGGGAGGGAAGCAUGAGAACAGCCGUGGUUUCGAUUAAAAUGACCCGUCCCAAGCAUGUUCUUGUUAAUGGGAUGACCAGCUGUGAUACUAUGUAGCACAGGCAUAAAAUUUUAGUGUUUGCAACAUCUGUAAUGUAAUCUGUUACUCUGUGCUAGCAUUGGGAUAGAUUGGAAAACACACAGGAUGCUGAUUCUGAAGGGGCAGUAUAAGGUACUUCAUCCACCAUUGAGACAGGAGGACUUGCAGAACCUCUGUAUAAUAUCAGACUCCCCUAAAUGAUUGAAAAAAAUAUAUAUGAGGUUUAUUCAUUAAUUUAUUAUCUCGUUCUCAUCUUUUUUUUUAUUUUUUAUUUUAUUGUAAUCUGUUUAAUUUUUGGAAAUGAUUCGGCCCAUAUGAUUAUUAAUUAUUACGAAGUUAGUCAAAGAAAAAAUGCAGUUAAAAAAAAUAAUAGAUUUUAACAUGCAUUAAUUGCUCCAAGGAUGCUAUAGUCAAUCCCGACCAGUCUGUACUAAAAAGCUGACACAUUUUAUCACUGCAGUAUGUUCCACAAAUAUCACCAACACAGCAGCUCCCUCAGAACAAAAUAAUCUCCCACAAUGCUCUUGGGUGUAUUUUGGAUGCUAUCCAUUGAGACUGAAUGGUAGGGGUUUCUGGCACAGACUGAAGUUAAAGCCCAUGGAGAUGGCACUGCUACCUGUUAGUAGUCGUUACUAUUGCCAAUGCACCAUUUUAAAAAUAAAAUGUAGUUAGCUAAGCAGUAUUCAAGAGCAUCAGACACAUCCCAGCUGAGAAUGUGUAAUAUAAAAGGGAUUAUAUAGUUACAUAGGGGGCUAUACAUAGGGAUUAAUUUUUGGCCAAAGUUCUAAAAGUGAAUCUAUCAGUCGGAACAUUCCAUUGAUUCCCAUGGUGACUGCUCACUUUCUAGAACUUUGAUCCAGAGUUGCACACAACGUCUUGCAUUGGAUAAGAGAGAAGAUACGUUAGUGGAGUGAAGGCCUCAACACAAACCCUGGCCAGUUAGACCAAUUGUGGUCCUGGGUACUAGAAGACCUUAAAGCAGAUACUAUAACUUUAUCUUUUGUGCAUAUAUUUCUUAUAUAAUUAAAAUAAAAUAGAUAAUCUCAUGAAAUAAAUGUUGACACAAGUGAUUUACUUUUGAAAAGGUGUGGAUCUAAUGAGUGGACUGUUAAUAUAGUAGAUUGGUCUAAUGUCAUCGUUUAGGAAUAAAUACCAGUGCUGUUUACUAUUACUUAGUUAGAGAACUGUAUAUCCAGGUUUCUGGCUGGGUUUAACUUGUUUUGGCAUGGCGGUUCUGUUUUUCACACACCUUUGCAUGCAUAUUAAGGGAUAUCGACCUCCAGAGGCUGCACUGCUCCAAAAAUAUGUCCUAAGGCAAUGAGAAUAACUGCGAGGGUUAAAAUCAUUUGACAGCAAAUCCAUAUUAAAAUCAUGGUCUAUUGGUUUGGCUUGAGACAGCCAGUUGAACUGAGCGUGGGACAGUCGUGUUAGCAGUUGGAUGUACAUGUUUUGUGAAGGUUUCCAAAGCAUGCAGGUGUUUUCUUUAUAUCGGAACAUUGAGAAAAACCUGAUGUUGGUUUGGGAAUAAUUUUCUGUCAUGAUAUACUUGGGUGAAUUCAUUCUGGUGACCAAAAUAGAAAAGAAAAAUUGUUUUGAGAGCAGAUUCAGCUCAAUCUCAGCAGGCGAGUUCCUGGCAAAUUUGGGUUGAAGAGCUGACUUUGCAUUCUCAGUUUGGUGCUGGAUAAAAGCCAAAUAUUCUGGUAAAAUGGAUUGGAGGAAAUGUGUCAAGGUAAGACAACCAGAGCUAUAGAAAAGACAGCCAGAGAAAUGUUACUAGCAAAGGGAUAAAACAGAAUAACAGUGUGUUGCUGGUCCUUAGGGAACGUGGAACCAGCGAGCUGGUAAAGGAGUGGCAAAGAAAAGGCCUAGGUCAAGAGAUACCAGAGUGAUGACAAAAUAAGAAAACAAGGCCAAUGGAUUCCAGAGAGCAGAAUAGUUAGAAAUAUGGGCAUUGCAAGGGGGAGGCUAGGGAGCUCCAGCCCCGAAUGUGGGACCCUGUAGCUCCAAACCUUUUAGCUGGGGGAAGUGGAGCCCACAAAUCCAUGAGAUCUUUCUACCAUGCUGCUCUCCCUCUUAGUUUCUUUGUAGAGUCUGGGCUGGGAUGGGAGCAGUACAGUUUACAUAAAGAUGUGGGAAAAAUGACACUGUUAUCAUAUUACCCUAUCUUUAUCUCUCUCUAUCUAAAGCAGCAUGGCAGGAAUUACUGAGAGAUUCUGGGUCUAUAAGUGCAGUUUUUGCAUCCUCUCCCUCACUCUGUAAAUGCUAUAGAGGGAGAGGCUUGUUGCAGUCAGCCCUAGAAAUGUUUACCGACCACAGCUUGCCUUCCUGGUGCACAGGGCCUGGUUAGGGAUGGCGGAAAAAAAAUAUAUUUUAUAUGUCUGUGUAGCCUGUAUCUGCUUGUAUAUUCCUGUGUAUGUGCCUGUUCCUUUAUGCCUGCUUCUCUGUGUGUGCCUGUUUGUGUAUGUCUGUGUCUGUGCAUGUGCUGCCUGUGUAUGUGUGUCUAUGUCUGUGUAGCCUGUCUUUAUGUUUUUUUUUAUGUUUGUGUCUGUGUAUGUCUGUGUGUUUGUGCCUGUGUGCCUGCAUUCUGUAUGUCAGUGUCUGUGCAUGUCUGUGUGUGUGCACCCAUGCUUGACUAUGUUUUAUGUCCCUCUCUGUGUGUACCCGCCUGAAUAUGUCUGUGUUUGUGUAUGUGCCAGUGUGUGCGUUUGUAAGUAUCCAACUGUGAGUAUGUGCCUUUAGAUAUGCAUCCAACUGUGUCAAUAAGCAUAUAUUGCAUGAGUAAAGGGCUGGAAUUUGGGAAGGACGAAGCGUGGGGACCUGAGGAGGAAUGUUUGUUUUGGGUUUAAGCCCUGGGUAUUUUUUGACCCUAGCAACGCCCCUGGUCCUAAACAAAACAAAUUAAAAUCAGAAUAACCAGAACACAGUAUUAAAAAACCCUCUGUUAUAGAAGACCACAAGAGGGCAUUGGACUGUAUGAGAAGGGGGUUUAUAUAGGUACAGAUAAAAUCUGAUAGGUUAGCAUCAGUUUUGAUGCCAGAGCAUGUUCAUUGCCACUGAACAGUUGCAGUAACUUCUCUCUCCGUAUUAUGACACAAUAACAUGGGGUUAUAAACGGACAUCCUUGAUAGCCCCCAGUGUCAGAGUUAGUGACUUGAACAAUCGAUCUAACAAGUCAGCUGUUUUUCAAGAUAUUGUUCACUUAAAUUGACCUGCACAGUGAGUAGGUUGCAAUAGGUGACUUGGCAACCAACUUGUCUUUAGUCAACAUAUAUUCCUAAUAUCACUUAUUUCACCCGUCUUAAAACUAUUGGGUUUCAAGGCAUUAUUUGUUCAGAUCUCUGUAAGUAGACUUCAUACUUUAUAUAACAAGUACAACCAGGUUUAUUUGGAACCCCAGUAAUUGUCUCCCUGGCUGGUAGGUCCCGAAUUUGAUUGACAAUUACAGAUGUAGCUAUAUAUCUGGGUCUAUAGUGAACCAUAAAUACUAUUUCCGGUUUAAACGUACAAGCACUUGGCAAAUGUUACACUUUGUUUAGCGAGAUCCUUGGCAUAUAAAUUAAUUGCCAAUACAGUUUAAUAUUUAUGGAGAAUUUCCUGACCUAGAUCUGUAGUCGUUGAAACAUCCACCAAUAGUCGGAGCGUUCUGUGGACAGACAGUAACGUAUGUAACAAGUUUAAUCCGGUUUAAUAUAAAUAUACAUACAAUAAAAUCAGAAUCAUUAAAGUACAAAAGCGAAAGUUAUUUCGAUUGCAUUUGAAAAGACAUUAAGGAUGACUUAAUCUGCCUGCAGUGUUUAGAAUACAGUUAUAGGGAAAUAAUUACCCCAGGAGAAUAACUAUAUUAGAAUCAUUCAGUUACAAUUCCAUAUCAAUAGAGAUUAGGACAUUUGAUAAAAUACAGGCCAUUCCGAAGGACAUAAUACUUUAUAUGACAUUUUUAAAACCAAUAUUCUACCUUAAUUUCAGUGGUUAAAUUAUUCUUCAACUCUAUAUCAUAGUUUGGCGAGAAACAACUGCAUGAUUUGUGAUAAAUCAAUAUGUUAUGAUAUUAUCUAGGCUUGAUCAACCCCAUUCUAUGAAAAAAACCCACAAUAAUAUCCUAAUAAUUUUAUAAUAUAAUAAAAUGUAAAAUAUACAGUAUAUAUAAUAAUAAUAAUAAUCUGCAUGUGUGUGUGUUUGUGUGUAUUGAGGUGUGUGGGGGGUGGGGGUGGGGGGAUUUACAAGAUUAUUUACUGAAGUGAAAAUAUUCGAGAAUUUAAAGGAAAUUUAAAGUGAAUUUCAAAUUUUAGAUCAAAAUAGCCAAACUGGAAGCAUAGCUGACUUAAAGGGAUACUAUAGCAUCUAAACAACUUUAGCUUAAUGAAGCAGUUUUGGUGUAUAGAUCACUCAGGAGGCUCCUGCAGAGUCUAGAAGGCUAUUAACAUAGCAGGAGAUGAGAAAUUCUAACCUAAAGAAAAUGUGCUAUAAAGGAAGUUUAAACAUUAGAGCUCCCUCUACAGGAAGUGUUUAUAAAGUCUGUGCAAGUUACAUGUAGGUAGGUGUGACCAGGGCUCUUUAACCCCUUAAGGACACAUGACAUGUGUGACAUGUCCUGAUUCCCUUUUAUUCCAGAAGUUUGGUCCUUAAGAGGUUAAACAUAGGCAUUUAAAGGGACACUAUAGCAUUAGGAAUACAUAUCUGUAUUACUGGCUUUUUAGUUUAGGACUCCCCCGGGUAUUAAAAAAUAAUGAAAUAAAUUGAAAUAAAACAAAUGACUUACUUUUUAUCGAGUCUCUCUAUGCUGCAGCAUCUUCCUCGUGGGAUGUCCAGCUGCAAUUUUCUUAAGAUUCUGACACAGAGAAUCAAUGAAUACAAUGAUUCUCGAUGGCAGACGGUGACGGCACUGGUAUGAUAUGAAAGCCAGAAAGGGAGAUUCUCUCUCAUACCCAGAGAGGUUGGGGGUGCAGCUUGAAGCCUUCUAAUUAGUGAAAUAAGGGUUUUGGGGCAGGAGAGGGUGGCAGGGUUGCAGGCACUAUAACUGCUGCAAUAGAUUGAAGUGGUUAACAUACCUACAGUGUUCCUUUAACUCCUAAAUUACAGUAAAUUGAGCAGUGAGACUGCAGGGUCAUGAUCUAUACAUCAAAACUGUUUCAUUAAGCUAAAGUUGUUUUGGUGCCUAUAGUAUCCCUUUAAAGAACAUUUCUUGUUCAGUUAUUUUGAAAUUAAAUUUGAAUUCUGAACUAUUCUCCUUUUAGUAAAUAACCACAUUGGAGAUUUUUAAAAACAUUUAAUUAUUGCAGCCAAAAUUCGGCAAGCCAGAUUGCAACUAAAGUCGCUGUUUUGUAACUAUCAUAAUCUCCCCCCACCCAAAACAAAUACAUUAAAAAAUAUAUGGUAAACCCAAAUAUGGAAGAGAUCUGUUUCAAAUAUCCCUAAUUGAUAUUAUUCUAACGGAAGUUUGAACUUAGGCAUCACAAAGAAAGGGGGUGGGGUGGGAGUAAUUUUUUCCUCUUUACAAAAAUAAGUUGGUGGUCUCUAUUACAAAAACUUCAGGGCAAACUAAAGUCAAAGAAACCACCAUAUCUUUUCCAAAGCAUUUUUCCCAUAACUUCAUCUGAAAUCUCAAGGCUCGGUAAUUAGGAACAGAGAUCGGUUGUCCUAAUCUAAGCGGAUAUUUUGUAGUGUUCUGACUAAGGAGGUAUCUGUGGCUUCUGGGGUUUUGCUGUAGUUAUGGUUGCCUAUAUUAAAAAAAAAAAAAACAUAUAUAAAAUGAAGACUUUCUUAUAUGUUUUAACCCCUUAAGGAGAUUUAAGACUACAAAAAAUUGAAAUUUAAUUGUGCAUCCAUAAUAUGCAUUUUUCAUUCAGUAUUUUUAACUGUUAGGACUUUCUUUGAUAUUUCAUUAUUUGAAAUGAAUAACUUAUACAAAAUAAAAAGACUUUUAUAUUUAAUCGACAUUCAUUGGAAGCUUAGAAGUAGAGUUCAAAUGAGAAAACUUUAUUUGGCUUAAAGGAACACUACUGGCACCCUAAUAUCCAAAUGAAGUUGUUAUAGUGCCAGGUGGUCCCUGGCGCUUGUUAUCUUUAGAGGUGGUUAAACCGUUAAAGAACAGUUUAACUCCAAAGUCUCCCCUCCAGUGCCAUUGCUCUCUGCCCCCUCCACAUCCAUUUUCUCAAAUUCUUCAGAACGGAAGCCUGGGAGAGCUACUGAUUGACUUAGAGAGGUCAGCUGACGCUCUAAGCCAGUCAGUGACUCCCCAUGCAUAAAAAAGGUAUUAAAACAGGUACGUAAAGAUGUGGUGGGGGCAGAGAAAAAAGCCGCUGGAGAGGAGACUUUGUGGUUAAAUCAUUCAUGAGUCAUUUAACCCCUUAAGGUAAGCCAGCGCCAGGGACCUCCUAGCACCACAACAACUUCAUUUCAACUAAGUAGUUAUGAUGCCUAAACUGUUCCUUUAAAUAAACAAAACAGCACAACACCACAGUAUGAAAAAGUUCAACUGUGGUGGGCAGGAUCAAAAUGCCUUAUGAAGCUAUAAUGUGACCUAGACAUAUUGUAAAACAUAUUGAUAUUAGACUAAUUGUAUGAAGCCAUUCUAAACACGAUUCAUGUCACCAUUGUGUAAUAACACUAUAUGGAAUGUGUAGGAACCCACUAGACCUUUUUUGUGUCAGAUUAUUAAUCAAUGAAUGUGCAACCUGUGCUGUUAUACAGGGAUAUUUACUAAAGUGAGUAUUGUUAGGAAUGCAAAGUGAAGUUCUGGUUUUGAGACCAAAGUAAUCAAACUGGAAGCAUGACUGGCUUUUCCCAGUUCGGCUAGUUUGGUCUUACAUUUGAAAUACACUUUGAAUUUUAGGCAAUUCUUACUUUAGUAAAUUAGUUUGUGGUAUUUGACUUAGGCUUGACAAUGACCAAAAAUCUCAGCCAAUCCAAUGCUUUCCCAUAGGGAAGCUUUGGAAGAUAGUGCACAUGCACAGUGAGAUGAAGUGUUCUGGGGGCCUAUAGUGUCUCUUUAAGAGUUAGUUGUGGCAUUUAAGCAUUCACUAGUAGUACAAGCAGCAUAAGGUCGAGAACAACUUUUUGAUUAUUGUGAGUUUUUGGUUAUUAUUUUUCAUUAACCUCACAUUUUAUUCAUUAUUUUUCUCAUUUUCAUUUUCAUAAUGGUAGGAUGUCCCUCCUGCGUAAUCGAGGUGUGUAGGGUAAGACCUGUGCAGAGAUAGCAUGUAAUUGGAUGUUAUAAUUGGGGAUUUUAUAUUUAUUCAUUUAUAAAUGUUGUAAAUAUUUGGUUUCUUCUGAGAGUUAUUGGAGGUUUGUUUUAGCUGUUGGGUUAAUAAAGUUUAUAAGCAUGUAUGUUAAUAUAUAUUUUAAAGGUUUAACUGACGCACCCCUAGCAGGGAUCUAAAGAGUAUUGGCCCUUUAACAUGCAAGUUUUCCUGGUUAGUCCUGGGGAGAGAAAGCUAGGUUUAUGGUAUUGUUUACCUUAGCUGGAAGCUGGAUGAUUUAGGCUACAGCUGUAAUUAGGCUAUAUUCAGGUAUAUUUUGAGACGGCACUCGGUAUUGUGGUCUUGAAAAAGUGCGUAACGGCACGAAACGCGCAGAUCGAUGUGACAACUGUACGAUAUGAGCCAAUUUUACUGCAUUUUGUUUGUUGAAUUUAUCAGUAUGUACGAAAGUAAAGUUGUGGAUUAUCUGAGUGAGCAGUGGCCAUAUUUCUCCUGUGGAUGCAGAACUUUUCAUUUGUUUCAAGGUCGAGAACAGCAAUGGUAUCAGCAGAAACAAUGUGCAACAUUCUUUGUAGCAAUGUCUGAAUUCUGGGUAACGUCUUUAAAAGAAAAUCCGGUGACACAUGCCAGACAGCUGUUUUAAGGGUGUUUUGUGGCUAAUGUGGCAAAUUUGAGUCCUUGAUACCAGAAAUGUUCUCUUUAACCAUCGAUUGCUGAUAAUUUGUGUCAGCCAAGGCUACACAUACAUUGUGUGUUCUUGUAUCCAUGUGUGAGCCAGAUGUAGUAAAUCAUUGUUGUAAUGUUUAUUAGUGAAUAUAUGGCUGUCUUGGAGGCAUAUAAGGCAUUUUCAUUUAUUUUGUUGGUGACACGUCAGUUAAUUAAAUGGAUCCUAUAAGCACCAAAAUAACUCUAGCUUACAGGAACAUUUUAGUGUUAGAAUAACAAAGCUACUCAAAGAGUUAAAUAACCCUUGAAUUCAUUCAUCUUAUUUUAGCGCCGAGGUCCCUUGGUGCUGGCUUAGACUCCUCCUCCCCCAACGAGGGAGGACCUAAGGCGCAUACCACACUUGCAUUAGGCCUUCCCCAUAGGAAAACAUUGAAUCAAUGCUUUCCCACGGGGGGCUACAAGAGAGAUAGCCAUAUGCAAAGCUGUAAGAGUCUCUAGUGUCUGUCUGGUGAAAUGCCACUACAGGCAGUCUUAACCUGCGAUGUAAACCAGGGAGGUGUCUACCGUGAGGCAAACAAGGCAUUUGCCUUGGGCGGCAAUUUCCAGGGGGCGGCAAAAAACACCGCCCCCAAAUGCCCAGGCAAAUAAGUUGUUUUAUGGGAGCCCAAGAGCUGGCCGGCUGGCCACCUUUGGGCUCCCCGCACAUCCGGCUGCCUCCCUGCCCAGCAGCCCCACUAGACCCCAGGUGAAAUAUCCACCCAGCUAUGCCAAAAGUAGGGAGACUGGGUGGAUUUCAAUUUAAAAAAUAAUAAUAAUAAUUAUGAGUGGGGGAAAUGAGUGAAUGUGUGUGUCAUUGAAUGUGAGUGAGUGUGUGUGUCAGUGAAUGUGAGUGUGUGUGUGUCUGUCAGUGAAUGUGAGUGUGUCUGUCAGUGAAUGUGAAUGUGAAUGUGUGUCAGUGAAUUUGAGUAAGUGUGUGUGUCUGUCAGUGAGUGUGUGUCUGUCAUUGAAUGUGUGUGUGUGUCGGUCGGUGAAUGGGUGUGUGUGUCGGUCAGUCAGUAUGUAUGUGUCGGUCAGUGAGUGCAUGCGUCUGUCACUGAGUGCGUGCAUCUGUCAGUGAGAGUGUGUGUCUGUCUGUCAGUCUGUUAGUGAGUGUGUGUCCGAGUAAGUGUAUGUCUGUCUAGCAGUGUGUCAGAUCAGUGAGUGUGUGUAUGUCAUUGUUUGUCAGUGUAUAUGAGAGUGUGUGUCUGUCAAUGAUUGUAUGCAUCUAUCAGUAAAUGUGUGCGUCUGUCAGUCAAAGUGCGGCCUUGACAGGAAGGGGUGGGGGGAAUUUAAUUUGGGGGGGGGGUGCCCUGCCUAGGGCAGCACAAAUCCUAAAUACACCACUGAUGUAAACAAUUGCAGUUUCCGUGAAACUGCAGUGUUUUACAAUGCAGGGUUAAAGAGACAGGGACAGUGCACCCAGACUGCUCCAAUGAAUUAAACUGGUCUGGGUGCCUAUAGUGUACCUUUAAUGGAGUGGUUUUGGUUUAGAGACCAUGCCCUUGUGGUGUAACUGCUCAGUUCUCUGCCAUUCAGGGGUGCUGCACGGAAUCUGUUCCCUGGGGACACCAGGAAACGGAAGCGAGACAGGGACAAAAUGGGGACUGUGCCACCAAUAUCGUGACAGUUGGGAGACCUGCAUCUAGUAAAUGGAAUUUUACAUAACUUUGCAGAGACAGUAGUUUUAUUGGUGACUCCAUUUAUUGGAUUUAACCCAUUAAUGAAACACAACUCCAUUGGCUUCAAUAUGUUUAUCUCAACAUAUUAAUACACGUUAAAAUUCAAAGUGAACACAAAUUGAUCAUCAUAAUAAAAGCCACAGUAGCCACACUGGAAGCAUAUCCAGCAUAUCCUUAAAUCUGAACUUUGCCGAGAAUUCUCACUUUAGUAAAUAACCCUGUUUUUGUUAUUAUAUAAAUAACAUUAGUUUUCCCCCCCUCUCUUUUUCUCCUUUUGGUUCGACAUGAUUGACACCUGCAAUACCACCCCAUCUGAUGCUGGGAACCAUUCCGAGAUAUUGUAAAAGUUUUACUUGUUUCUAUAAAACAAAGUUCUGUUUUCUGAGCAUUUAGGGGCUUAGAUUGUAUUUGAUUGUUAACAGAUUGUAUCUGUUAAAGGAUCACUUUGUGUGUGUGUGAGUGAUUGAGUAAUGACUUGCUAUGUACUGACUACUUAAAUAUUGAAUUGUGUAUGCGCAAGGCUCGCUGGUAAGUAGCACGUCAGCUAAGUGUGAAUAAACAACUGGCCAAAACCACCUAUCAAUUGUCAGGAAUACAAAGUGAAUUUCAAAUUUAAGGCCAAAUUAGCACAACUAAAACCAUAGAUAACUAGGAUAAUUUUUUCAAUUCAACUUUUUUAGCCUAGAGUUUGAAAUUCACAGUUUUGGGAAUAAUCCUGAGCAUGAACUUACAAACAAUUCUGCUAUACUGGCUCAAAGUCUUUGCACUUUUUCAUUUGCGACAGUUCAGUUUAGAAAAUAAGCCCCCCUUAAGUAUUUAUUGUUAUGAAUAUGCAGUAUUUUAGAAACAACAUGUGGAUCAUCUUUCGGUCCUAAGGGCGCACUCAAGUAAUGUGAAAUUGUAGCUCCCAUGAAAAUUGUUUCCCAUCAUGUUAUUUUCUAAACCUAAUAAAUCAGCUUCUGAAAUAACUCACCGUGGUAUGCCUUAGUUAUGAAAACAACGAGGCAACUUCUGGUAGGAUGACAAAUAUGGACUGCUAUUUCCAUCAAGCUCGGCCAGGUAGAAUCGGUUGAUAAACUACGUUUCUCUCAGUGGCUUGGCAAGAAUUUCAAUUCCUGAGGAUAAUUGGUUAUUAUUCAACUGUUAUCACCGGAGCUCAUUGGGUUCUAUUCCGUUGAAUAUGGUUGCUGCUUGACAAGUUUUGAAGGUUAAGUUUGGAGAAUCUUGUGGGAACCUGCAGAGUUCUGCUUAGUAAAUAAGGUGAGGAAUAGAUCAUGGUCUCUUAGAGAGUUCAGCUUGGUGGUGAUGGUGGAGACUUGCAGAUCUGGUACCACAACGUUUAGUUUGGUGAACCUGGGAUAGACUUGCCUGCAGAGUUCUUCUUAAAAAACGUAGUAGGAACUAGUUGAAGAUCUGUUAAGAAGUUCAGCUUUGCUAUCACGGUAAAGACUUGUGGAUCAGGUACUACAGAGUUCGGUUUAGUGGAUGAGAGGGUAUUUGCUGAUGUACACUUACCUGGACAAUUUGGACUUACCUGACACUGCUAAGGAUAACGCACAGUCUUCUAGUGAAUUGGUGUACAAUAUAUGUGCCCAUUUUAUAUACUUUUAUAUACUUACUUUCCCUGGAAAACAUUUUUUUAUUACACAUAUGUUCGUCAAUAUAAUUAAAGGGACACUAAGUCACCAAAACAACUUCAGUUUAAUGAAGCAUUUCUAGUGUAUAAAUCAUGCCUCUGAAGUCUUACUGCUCAAUUCUCAUCAUGACCAUCCUAUGUAGACAAUAACAGCAAAAAACUGGAGGCUUGAAUGGGUAUGUACGGGACUAACAUGUGAUAAAACCUAAUUCCAAAACAUCUGUGUCUUUCGGCGGGACCACCAGAUGUGCAGCAUCGUUCCCUCCUAUUCACCACAUCUCCAACAUAAAAGGCGUAGCAGAAGGAUAUUUUUUAUGUAUUCGGUUAACAUUUACAUGGUGGUAAGAUUGUUUUACCCCUUUGAGAGCAUUGAGUGACUGCUCCCGCUUCCUAUCUGUAAUCCACACUCCUCCUAUUAAUUUUGAAAAGCAUAUACCCAAAUUGGUAUAGUGCCUUGAGUUUCAGUGGGGACCUCCAGUCAUGGAACAGUUAAAACUGAGGGUCUACAGAAACGGAUGGGUUGGCGCAUCUUAUCACGUGGGGAAUUGAGAAUACUUUUAAUUUGCAAAUAGCUAUAGAUGUAGCUGCGAGACAGCUUUAAGACCACCUGUAGGCGUGGGAAUAUUUGCCAUUUGCCGUGCAAUAGCAAUUUGGCCACAUCAGUAACCCCUAAAUCCAUCGACCUCCAUUGAGAUAUCCAUGGUAAAACUGUUGCUAGGGACAUCAUUCGAAGGCAAUGAAAAUGUUUUUUUUUUCCCCUUUUGAUCAGAUAAUUCAAUCUCAGAUUUUAAUCGUAAGUUCCAUGAUGGGAAAUAAUGGUCAUUGGAGUUGUCUAAGUGGAGACAACUUUGGAGUCCACACAGUAUUUAUUAUAUCCACCCAUUGAAGGACUUCCUCAGGGGCGUGUAAAGAUAACUCUGUAGCUUUGUAGUACAAAAGGCUAUUAUGUACUCCCAUCCAACCUCUUAAGAAGGGUUUUUGCAUUAAUGAAGCUUGGCCUUUCGGUGUUCCCAAAUAAAGUUUGUAUGUGUUGUACAUUUUUGCAGCAUGACAGAGGCAGUGAAACGGGUAAAAGACAGAAAAUAUAUAAAACACAUGGCAAUAGCAUCAUUUUAACAGUGUUUAUUUUGCCAACCCAGAUUUGGGAAUGCGGCUCCAUUGAGACAGCUCCCUCUUACACUGCUGUAGGAGUGGUAAGUGGUUAUGUUUGAAUAAAGUAGGUACUUACUUUGCUAGGCUAUAGGUAACCAGACCACUUCAUCUCAUUGAAGAAGUCUAAGGGAGUCCCUGUCUCCCUUAGUCCUACAAUGUAAAAAAUUGCAAUUUUUAAGCACUAAGACUGCAUUUAGUGGCUGUCUUCCAGAUAGCCACUUGAGGCGCUUCCUGGAGUUUCACUGAGUUUGCACGCUGUGCAUGAGGACGUCCAGUGUCAGAGAAACCCCCAUAGAAAAGUAUUGAUCCAAUGCUUUCCUAUGGUGAAGGCCUAACGCACAUGCGGCGCUCGCCAUGCAUGCGCAUUAGGUCUACCCCUCGGAUGAAGUCAGAGAAGAAGGAGCACAACCCAGUGCUGAAAGAAUCGGUGCUAGAAUCGAGUAACCCUAUAUGUGCAGGCUGUAAGGAGAGUGAGACCAGAGGGCCCUAUAGUGUUAGGAAUAUAAUUAUGUAUUACUAACACUGUAUAUUUCCUUUAAUUCCUAGGUAUGUGAGGUUCUCCAUUCGAAAUUAUAUCUAUUUUCAAGGUCUGUCAAGAUUGACAGAGAUUUAUCGUCACAGCUUGGGUCUUUGUUUAGUUUAUAGUAUGACAACUGUCUAUAAUGAAACAGGGUUAAUAAGAUUGUCGGAAGAGAUUUGAAUGUACUGAAAAAGGGUGGGGGUGGAGGCUGUAAGGAGAGUGAGACCAGAGGGCCCUAUGGUGUUAGGAAUAUAAUUAUGUAUUACUAACACUGUAUAUUUCCUUUAAUUCCUAGGUAUGUGAUAUGUGAGGUUCUCCAUUCGAAAUUAUAUCUAUUUUCAAGGUCUGUCAAGAUUGACAGAGAUUUAUCGUCACAGCUUGGGUCUUUGUUUAGUUUAUAGUAUGCCAAAAGUAUGACAACUGUCUAUAAUGAAACAGAGUUAAUAAGAUUGUCGGAAGAGAUUUGAAUGGGUCACGCAGCGUGAGUAUCGUGUUGUUGGCUAACAAUGAUAUUCUGUAGUCUAUGCUAUCUAUAUCAAUGCCCAAAAUGUCUACCUGAUGCCUGAGUGUCUGCACUAGGGGUUCAAGUGAGAGUAUGAACAGGAGGGGGGCUAAAGGGUAGCCCUGAUGGGUACCCUUCGAUAUGUGAAAUGGCAGUGAUAAGAAACCAGUAUUGAGGACAUUGGCAGAUGGAGAUCUAUAUAAGGCCUAAAAUGUUGCCGAGAUCUGGGUCACGUAUGUCCAAUUGAGCCUGUCUAAGGCCUUUUCAUUAUCUAAUACCAAGAUAAGGCCCUCCUUAUUGGUUCUUUUGAGGUGGGACUGAAUGUUGAGCAGCUUCCAAGAGUUCUACGAGCCUUGGCGUGAAUGACGAAUGACUCCUGAUUGAUCGUUGUUUAUUAUAGAGGGCAAUAUUAGGGAUAGUUGUUGGCAAUCAACUUAGCAUACAGAGAUAGAGAUAGGUCUGAGAUUGGAAUAUUGGGUGGGUGUCUUUCCAGUUUAGGCAGUAUUUUAAUAUGGGCUCUAAGCAUCUUCUGGAGCAAAGAGAAACUCCUGUUAAACAAAGUGCUUAUGUGAGGUGCCACGUCUACAGAAAAGGUUUGGUAAUGUAGAGUAGUUAGACCAUGAUUUUAUGAACGACAUGGAGGCGAGUAUUGUGUUACCCUUUGAGAUCUUUUUGCUUUGCUUUUCCCUCCCUUGUUUCCUCAAUACACACUUUUUUUGGUUUGUUUAUGAGAUUGUGUUAUAUUUCUUUUAGUUUUUUUCAGGUUAUUUUUCCAUUGCUACGUGUUACAUGCCUUAAUCAUAAUAAUUGAUAUUCUUACAUUUCCAUGAUGUGCUCUAAUUAUGAUGACUGAUAUUCUUGCAUUAGCACGCUUCAUUUAUAUGGACUUGUGGUUUGCAUUCACUGAAUGACCUGCUUUGGAACUGCUGGUUACUGCCCGAUGUCUAACUGUGGUCCCACCCUGCCCUUUGUGUCUUUCAGGGUGAUGUUCCUCAGGACUGAACUAUUUGGUGGAUCCUGCUCUUCCGAUCUGGUUGGUUCCAGCCCCAGCUGCUGUCUGUCUCUCAGUUUGGAAAUACAAGUUUGCCCUGGCUCCAGUUUGUUUGUGGGGGGGCGGUCUAGUUUAGGGAUGGCUAUUAAUAAAGGGCAGAGUUUGGGAGGUUAUCCGUAGGAAUCCUUUUUUUCCAAUUGUCUUUUUUCUUUGCUGCUGUUUUGAAGUAAAGAAACAGUU